AACCUUAUGGACCUGCGGGCGUAUACCUGCGGAAGGAUCAUCAUCGAAUUCAUAUCCCCCUCCUCCCCGGAGGGGGACCCAUGAUAAACCCUUCUGUGCACUGUAAACCGUUCACUUUGGCAGGCUUUGGUGGUGAGCGUGAGCUUGCCUCCAACUUCGCGUUCCCUCCCUAGGGCAUUACGCGUGGCGGCCUGCCGGAGUCUCAUUAAAAAACUCGUUUUCGAACACGUCUGAAAUUUC
rnacentral:misc_RNA from 1 species